UCCGAGACUAGAGUCACAUCCCAACACAGCUCUUGCCUGAUGUGCUAGGGUCCUCAGAGAGAAUCUACUGAUCUUGAUUCACUGGCAGGGGGUGACCAGUGCCCCCACUAGUGCCCUGAUCAGAAACAUGU
rnacentral:snoRNA from 1 species